UGUCUGUUAGCUACCCAUAAGAAUGCUGUUUGCUGCAGUUCUGUGUCCUGUGCUUGGAUGCUUUUUAUAAGAGUUGUCAUUGUUGGAAAUUCUUAAAUAAAACUGAUUUAAAUAAUAUGUGUCUUUGUUUUGCAGCCCUGAAUGCAAAGAAUUCAUAGCAGUUAAUUCCCCUUUUUUGACCCUUUUGAGAUGGAACUUUCAUAAAGUUUCUUGGCAGUAGUUUAUUUUGCUUCAAAUAAACUUAUUUGAAAAGUUGUCUCAAGUCAAAUGGAUUCAUCACCUGUCAUGCAUUGACACCUGAUACCCAGACUUAAUUGGUAUUUGUUCUUGCAUUGGCCAAAGUGAAAUUUUUUUUUUUUCUUUUGAAAUCUAGUUUUGAAUAAGUCUGGGUGACCGCACCUAAAAUGCACUUGCACUAUUACUCAGCAGCAGUAACAUGGUAACACUUAAAAUGGUACUCGGGGACCUCCAAAGACUAAACUGACAAGCCUUCAAGGAGCCCAGGGGUAAGUUAACUUGUCAACGGCAUGGUUUAAUCCCUUCUUUACACUUGUGUAAAUUUCAGUUACUGGUCAUAGAAGGCUUUCAAUGUUGAGUGGCCUUUUAUUAACAUGUUUAUGGUACUGCAUAGAUACGGGUAUUUAUUUUACCCUAAGAAGAUUUUGAAGUUUAAAAGUACUUAAACUAUUUGGCAAAGAUUUGUUUUUAAAAAUCUAUUUGGUCAAUCUAAAUGCAUUCAUUCUAAAAAAUUUUUUGAACCAGAUAAAUAAAAUUUUUUUUUGACACCACA
rnacentral:sRNA from 1 species